GUGCCAGCCGCCGCGGUAAUACGGAGGGUGCAAGCGUUGCUCGGAAUUAUUGGGCGUAAAGGGUAGGUAGGUGGUCUCAUUUGUCUGAGGUGAAAGCCUUGAGCUUAACUCAAGAAGUGCCUCGGAAACGGUGAGACUGGAGUCCUGGAGAGGGUCGUGGAAUUCCCGGUGUAGCGGUGAAAUGCGUAGAGAUCGGGAGGAACACCAGAGGCGAAGGCGGCGACCUGGACAGGCACUGACACUCAACUACGAAAGCGUGGGGAGCAAACAGGAUUAGAUACCCUGGUAGUCCACGCCGUAAACGAUGGGUACUAGGCAUGGUGGGUCUUGACCCCCGCCGAGCCGGAGCUAACGCAAUAAGUACCCCGCCUGGGAAGUACGGUCGCAAGACUAAA
rnacentral:rRNA from 1 species